ACGAGUGGCGGACGGGUGAGUAAUGUCUGGGAAACUGCCCGGUGGAGGGGGAUAACUACUGGAAACGGUAGCUAAUACCGCAUAACGUCGCAAGACCAAAGAGGGGGACCUUCGGGCCUCUUGCCACCGGAUGUGCCCAGAUGGGAUUAGCUUGUUGGUGAGGUAACGGCUCACCAAGGCGACGAUCCCUAGCUGGUCUGAGAGGAUGACCAGCCACACUGGAACUGAGACACGGUUCAGACUCCUACGGAAGGCAGCAG
rnacentral:rRNA from 1 species